UACAGAGGGGGCAAGCGUUGUUCGGAAUUACUGGGCGUAAAGGGCGCGUAGGCGGCCUUCUAAGUCGAACGUGAAAUCCCCGGGCUCAACCCGGGAACUGCGUCCGAUACUGGAAGGCUUGAAUCCGGGAGAGGGAUGUGGAAUUCCAGGUGUAGCGGUGAAAUGCGUAGAUAUCUGGAGGAACACCGGUGGCGGAAGGCGAAGCAUCC
rnacentral:rRNA from 1 species